rnacentral:rRNA from 1 species
AACGAACGCUGGCGGCAGGCCUAACACAUGCAAGUCGAGCGAGGACUUCGGUUCUAGCGGCGGACGGGUGAGUAACGCGUGGGAAUGUGCCCUUCUCUACGGAAUAGCCCUGGGAAACUGGGAGUAAUACCGUAUACGCCCUAUUGGGGAAAGAUUUAUCGGAGAAGGAUCAGCCCGCGUUGGAUUAGGUAGUUGGUGGGGUAAUGGCCUACCAAGCCGACGAUCCAUAGCUGGUUUGAGAGGAUGAUCAGCCACACUGGGACUGAGACACGGCCCAGACUCCUACGGGAGGCAGCCGUGGGGAAUCUUAGACAAUGGGGGCAACCCUGAUCUAGCCAUGCCGCGUGAGUGAUGAAGGCCUUAGGGUUGUAAAGCUCUUUCAGCUGGGAAGAUAAUGACGGUACCAGCAGAAGAAGCCCCGGCUAACUCCGUG